CCUACGGGUGGCAGCAGUGGGGAAUAUUGGGCAAUGGGCGCAAGCCUGACCCAGCAACGCCGCGUGAAGGAAGAAGGCUUUCGGGUUGUAAACUUCUUUUCUCAGGGACGAAACCAGUGACGGUACCUGAGGAAUAAGCCACGGCUAACUACGUGCCAGCAGCCUCGGUAAUACGUAGGUUGCAAGCGUUAUCCGGAUUUACUGGGUGUAAAGGGCGUGUAGGCGGGGAGGUAAGUCAGAUGUGAAAACCACGGGCUCAACUUGUGGAUUGGAUUUGAAACUGUGUUUCUUGAGUGCAGGAGAGGCAGACGGAAUGCCUGGUGUAGCGGUGAAAUGCGUAGAGAUUA
rnacentral:rRNA from 1 species